rnacentral:rRNA from 1 species
UACGUAGGGUGCGAGCGUUGUCCGGAAUUACUGGGCGUAAAGAGCUCGUAGGCGGUGUGUCGCGUCGGCCGUGAAAACCUGGGGCUCAACUCUGGGCGUGCGGUCGAUACGGGCAUCACUUGAGUUCGGCAGGGGAGACUGGAAUUCCUGGUGUAGCGGUGAAAUGCGCAGAUAUCAGGAGGAACACCGGUGGCGAAGGCGGGUCUCUGGGCCGAUACUGACGCUGAGGAGCGAAAGCAUGGGUAGCGAACAGG